UUGGAAGUAUUCGUGCAGAGAUAGG
rnacentral:piRNA from 1 species